AAACUGCCUGAUGGAGGGGGAUAACUACUGGAAACGGUAGCUAAUACCGCAUAACGUCGCARGACCAAAGAGGGGGACCUUCGGGCCUCUUGCCAUCAGAUGUGCCCRGAUGGGAUUAGCUAGUACGUGGGGUAACGGCUCCCCUAGGCGACGAUCCCUAGCUGGUCUGAGAGGAUGACCAGCCACACUGGAACUGAKACACGGUCCAGACUCCUACGGGAGGCAGCAGUGGGGAAUAUUGCACAAUGGGSGCCAGCCUGAUGCAGCCAUGCCGGGUGUAUGAAGAAGGCCUUCUGGUUGAAAAGUACUUUCACCGGGGAGGAAGGAGAUGSGGUUAAUAACCGCGUCGAUUGAUYUUACCCGCAGAASAAGCCCCGGCCAACUCCGUGCCACCAUCC
rnacentral:rRNA from 1 species